rnacentral:rRNA from 1 species
UCCUAGCUGUAAACGAUGCGGGCUAGGUGUUGGUAUUACUGCGAGUGAUGCCAGUGCCGAAGGGAAGCCGUUAAGCCCGCCAUCUGGGGAGUACGGUCGCAAGGCUGAAACUUAAAGGAAUUGGCGGGGGAGCACCGCAACGGGAGGAGCGUGCGGUUCAAUUGGAUUCAACGCCGGACAACUCACCAGGAGCGACGGUUACAUGAAGGCCAGGUCGACGACUUUGCCUGAUUUUCCGAGAGGUGGUGCAUGGCCGUCGUCAGUUCGUACCGUAGGGCGUUCUCUUAAGUGAGAUAACGA